UUAGGGCAAUGGGCGAAAGCCUGACCCAGCAACGCCGCGUGUGUGAUGAAGGCCUUCGGGUCGUAAAGCACUUUUCUGGGAGAUGAGAAAGGACAGUAUCCCAGGAAUAAGUCUCGGCUAACUACGUGCCAGCAGCCGCGGUAAAACGUAGGAGGCGAGCGUUAUCCGGAUUCACUGGGCGUAAAGCGCGUGCAGGUGGCGCGGUAAGUUGGGCGUGAAAUCUCCCGGCUCAACUGGGAGAGGUCGUCCAAUACUACCGUGCUUGAGAGCAGAAGAGGAAGAUGGAAUUCCCGGUGUAGUGGUGAAAUGCGUAGAUAUCGGGAGGAACACCAGUGGCGAAGGCGAUUUUCUGGUCUAUUUCUGACGCUCAGACGCGACAGCUAGGGUAGUAAACGGGAUUAGAGACCCCGGUAAUCCUAGCCGUAAACGAUGUGAACUUGGCGUCGGUGGCUUAAACACCAUCGGUGCCGAAGCAAACGCGAUAAGUUCACCGCCUGGGGACUACGGCCGCAAGGUUA
rnacentral:rRNA from 1 species